rnacentral:rRNA from 1 species
GACUAACGCUGGCGGCGUGCCUAACACAUGCAAGUCGAACGAGGUAGCAAUACCUAGUGGCAGACGGGUGAGUAACGCGUGGUCAACCUUCCCUACAGUGGGGGAUAACUAGCCGAAAGGUUAGCUAAUACCGCAUGACAUCUUCGAGAGGCAUCCUUUGAAGAAAAGGAGCAAUCCGCUGAAGGACGGGACCGCGUCCCAUUAGCUAGUUGGUGGGGUAAUGGCCUACCAAGGCGACGAUGGGGUAGCUGGUUUGAGAGAGCGACCAGCCACACUGGGACUGAGACACGGCCCUGACUCCUACGGGAGGCAGCAGUGAGGAAUUUUCCGCAAUGGGCGAAAGCCUGACGGAGCGACGCCGCGUGUGGGAAGAAGGGCCUUCGGGGUCGUAAACCACUGUCGAAGGGGAAGAUAUUGACGGGUACCCUUGGGAGGAAGCCCCGGGCUAACUAUGUGCCAGCCGCCGCCGUAAU